AGCGAACGCUGGCGGCAGGCUUAACACAUGCAAGUCGAACGGGUAUCUUCGGAUACUAGUGGCAGACGGGUGAGUAACACGUGGGAACGUACCUUUCGGUUCGGAAUAGUACAGGGAAACUUGUACUAAUACCGGAUAAGCCCUUCGGGGGAAAGAUUUAUCGCCGAUAGAUCGGCCCGCGUCUGAUUAGCUAGUUGGUG
rnacentral:rRNA from 1 species